rnacentral:lncRNA from 1 species
GAUGUCCAGGCAGCAGCAUGACUUUGUGACAACAGCUACAAGGAGAGAGACCUGAACCUCAGAUCUGCCACACACUGUGAAGCCUGGGCAGGUCUCUACCUUUUUGAGCUUCAGUGUCCUGACCAAGAACACAGGUAGCAACAUGUUUCCCAAGGCUGGGAAGCGGUGCUGUUUCAGCAAUUGCUCAUUUUCAGUUCCAGAGACACAAGAUCAAGUGCUACUUCCUAUCAGCUGGAGUCACUGCCCUGCUUGUCACCAUCAUCGUCAUCGUCACCUCUGUUCGAAAGUGAUGCCACCCGUGAUACACAUUCAUGGUGUCUGUGCAGGCCCUGGCCUGGGCCCAGGGACACCUCCGUGGACACCUCCGUGGACAGGACAGGUCUCUGCCUGCAGGCGCAACCAUCUGGCUAGGAGCAUGGACAGAGAGUGUGAUGAGGCCACAGGUGAAGCCCCUGAGGUGGGAAGUGCUGGGGGAGGGAGCCCUUAUCAAUGGGAGGUCCUCAUCAGCUCAGCUGCCGUAACCAAGCACCACAGGUGGCUUCAACCACAGAAGAAACUGCCCUUUGCCCUGGAGGCUGGAAGUCCCAGAUCAGGGUGCUGUCAGGGUUGGGUUCUGAUGGGGCCCUUCCGGGCUGCUGAGGGCGACCUCUCCUACAUCCUCACGUGGCAGAGGGAGGGCAGGAGCUCUUGGGGCCUGGAUCCCACGAGGAGGCUGUACCCUCAGGACCACAGCACCUCCCAGAGGCCCUACCUCUCACACCAUCACCCUGGGGGUUAUUUUCACAUUUGA